CAUGAGCCACCAUGCCCAGCCACUUCUACCAUUGCUCAUUCAUUCCAUGGAUUCAGUUUUAGGAGUCUAGCAAGCCCGUGCUAAAAUGCAUAUUCUCGAGGAGUUAUGGCAUCUUUAGCCAGCAAUAAAGAGGUAUCAUUUUGUGUGCGAUUGCCAGUCUACUGGGGUGACUUUCUAUAGCCCUGAGGUGUCCCCAGGAUCUUGGAGAAGGAGCUCAUGAUUCAUUAGUUAUGUCUGCAGUGGUCAUGGUACUGAAGUGCCACACAUUUGUCACCUUGUAUUAAACAAUUAUAAUGGGUAUAACAAUUUUGAAAUGCCUUCUGAUUUAUGUUCUCUUAUCAAGAAACCAUUUAUUUUCCCUAUAACCAUCUGCAUUAAGGCUGAGUGAAGAAGACAGAGUAUGGCUGAUAAGUAAGCCCCUCCUGAUGAGAGAGGAUGCAGAAGUCCUUCCAGAGAAGAAAUGACUCUGAGAGAGGGAAAAGGGCACAAAUAUCAGAACAACAGUACAGACUCUCUCCUGGACCAGCUACAGGAAGUGUGGGCCAGGAGACGUUGACUGCCCCAUCUCCAGGGAGGGACUGACAAGCGGAGAUAUCUGGCAUAAAAUGUGGUGUUUUUACAGAAAUCUUUAAAGAGAUGUAAAGGAUUAAAAUAAGUCAUGAAAAUAAGAAACUUCAGCUCUAAAGAAGAAUAAAAAGUAUCAAAGAUACAGAAUAAACCAGCAAGCAUGUCGGAACAACAGUUGGUAAUGCUACUCCUGCAAUUCUCUGGGACCACUCAGCAGACUUGGGGUUACCAGGUGCCCAGACACUGCUUCAAGGAGCCAAGGAACUCAGUGGCUUUUCUAUUAUGACCUGACCUGGGCUUCUCAGCAUGAAGACAGACAGAGCUGCAUUCCUGGGAUUUCGAAGAAGAAAAUAAGAUUCUGUCAAGCCUGCAUUCAAUCAAAAUAUCCUCCCCUAUGAUAAGGAGAACUAGAUGUCAACACAACUUUGAAAACUAGCGAGCAAGAGGAUGAGUUUAACUGACUUUAAAGUUAAGUGCCUGCAUGGGUUGGGAGAACAAACUUUUCAAAUGUCAGAAUCCCAGGAGUCGCAGUGAUUGACAGCACAAGGUAGCCUCUUCCCCAUCACAGGAUAAGCAGAUUUAGUCCCUUUGUUACAUGUGGACCAUGGUUUGCUGUGGCUCUCCGUCAUUUGCCUUAAAAUAGAGUUGUUCCUGGAGCUUUGCAGAAUGGGCCUGCCUCCCCAUCAGUCACACACUUAUGAACAUCUGUGACCUGUAAUGCCUUUACCAGGGGCUCAUCUUGAGACAGACAGACAGACUAAGGCACUGGAGACCCAGGUAUAAAGUUCCAGAGAUGACUUCAAGGUGGCUAGUCAACAACACAGCCAUUGUUGAGAUGAGACCAGCCCGAGAUCCAGUCGGACUGGGACCCAAGACAGCCGCCAGAACCAGACACACAGACACGGAAACCAACCAUUGGGCCUGGCAGAUAAUAGCAAGGAACUGAAACUUACCAGAUCACUGCAUCUAAACAAUGCUCGCCUAACCAACCACCUGCUUCCUGCUGACCAACUCCUCUUCCUUAACUCUCCCUAAUUCCUGUUCUCCUGCAUAUACAGGGUCUCACUUUGUCACCCAGGCUGGUGUG